AGUGAACGCUGGCGGUAGGCCUAACACAUGCAAGUCGAACGGCAGCACAGGAGAGCUUGCUCUCUGGGUGGCGAGUGGCGGACGGGUGAGGAAUACAUCGGAAUCUACCUUUUCGUGGGGGAUAACGUAGGGAAACCUACGCUAAUACCGCAUACGACCUACGGGUGAAAGCAGGGGAUCUUCGGACCUUGCGCGAUUGAAUGAGCCGAUGUCGGAUUAGCUAGUUGGCGGGGUAAAGGCCCACCAAGGCGACGAUCCGUAGCUGGUCUGAGAGGAUGAUCAGCCACACUGGAACUGAGACACGGUCCAGACUCCUACGGGAGGCAGCAGUGGGGAAUAUUGGACAAUGGGCGCAAGCCUGAUCCAGCCAUACCGCGUGGGUGAAGAAGGCCUUCGGGUUGUAAAGCCCUUUUGUUGGGAAAGAAAUCCAGCUGGUUAAUACCCGGUUGGGAUGACGGUACCCAAAGAAUAAGCACCGGCUAACUUCGUGCCAGCAGCCGCCGUAA
rnacentral:rRNA from 1 species